AGCAGCGUGGCGCAGUGGAAGCGUGCUGGGCCCAUAACCCAGAGGUGGGUGGAUCGAAACAACUCGCUUCUA
rfam:Angiostrongylus cantonensis strain Taiwan genome assembly, scaffold: ACAC_contig0005120